GGGGAUGUAGCUCAGCUGGUAGAGUGCUUGCCUCAAAUGCACAAGGCUCUGGGUUCGAUCCCUAGCAUCACAC
rnacentral:tRNA from 1 species